GGCGUGCGUUGACGCUUCUGCCCAUUCACUUUGAAUGUGGUGACGUCACGCUUAGCCGAACUGCAUUGUGGGAGCAAAGUGUAGCUUUCAUGUUGUUGGUCUAGCUUCAGACAUGCCGCCCCGUUUGUAGGGGCUGUUACACUGUAUGUGCGCUGCGUUUGGGGGUGCUGCAGCCCCUUCCCUCGUCCACCUUUGCCCUGCGGCGCAAUGAGAUCAUCAAUGAUGAGCUACCUGUUGGAGAGAUCCUGGAACGCUGACCUGCCUUGAAAAUGGAGUCACAGAGUUUCACAGGAUAACAAACCUCAACCUGAAGAACCACUUCUAUGCGGAGUUGGAUAGACAUGUCCCCCCCGUCUUCAGAGCCUGUUCAGGAAGAAGGCGGCAAGCAAGGAAAGGAAAGGAAACUGAAAUUCUGGAUCAGCUAUUAGCCUCCUAUGAACUCCAGGAGCAAGGUGACAUGUCCUCCGUGCUGCUGUCCUCCAUGCUCUAUCUGCAUGAAGAUGACUCCACGUUUCUGAGGCUGUGGCAUGUGGAGCAGUCUGAUGAUCCAGACACAGAGGACUUCUCAUGAUCAGUGCCAUGUCAACAGAUACCACGCUCUUCUGCCCAGAGAGGAUCGCUGUUGUCAUUGAGGGUAACGGAGUUAUCGAACUCCCCACACUGGCUGACGCAUUCAUCCUGCUUUUUGCACUGACCUUUGCCCUGCAUCUGAGCUACCCAAAAGACUUGGCCAACACUUUCGACUUCACCCAGAAAGUGUUGAUGGGCCUGGAUGAGGGGAACUUGAAGCCCAGGGUGUUGAGUCUGAAAAGGCUUUUGGCAGUUUAAUCCUACCAACAAAGUUGCACUUUAACAAUCACACACACACACAGUUCUCCUCGGCUUACAUCCUGCUGCUUUACAUCUGUGUUCUAUUGUGUUCAUUGACAGAUUUGUUACUGUUCAGCUUCAAGUUGAAGGACUGUUCGUAGAUGUUUUAUACUUUUAUAUGUAUUGGGUCUUUAUGGUCCAUGUGUUAAAUUAAUAUGCAAAACUGUUCCUGAAAAUUGUGUUCACUCAUAAGUGAUGGUUAAAAUACAGAUAUUUCUCAAGG